GUUCAGAUGACGAGUCCCAAAUAGGACAAGACCCACGUCCUGGAU
rfam:Schistosoma haematobium scaffold105_10, whole genome shotgun sequence.